UACAAUUUUUGACUCUUCGUCUUAUUAAAAAAAAUUUGCGACUGAUAUUUUUGUUUUUAUUAGAUAAUAAUUAUGAAUAGUACUUUACGUGUGACUAAUUUUUUUAAUUUCCUGAAAUUUUUUUUAAAUAAGACGGAUAGUCAAACGUUGGAUACGGAAACCGAAG
rnacentral:pre_miRNA from 1 species